AUGAAAGGUUUUCAAUGUACGUGUACCAGCUGGUCUGUACGGGGAGUAGCUUGGGGAAAUCUCCCCUUGUUCUGUUACACUUCCUUAUCUAUUUAAAAAGAACGAUGGGAGGAAAGGAUACUUCUAGUUGGAGCAACACAACGCAUCCUAAAGUCUGCUGGCUUCGGUUCAAAGUACAUUUGAAAGCUGAUCAUUUCUAGAACCCUGGUCCCAGGCACCAUCCCGUCUUACCUGGGUUGCUGCAAUAGGUCUCCCUGCUCCUGUCCAUGUCUACCUACAUUCUGUCCUCAGCACAGCCAGGAUGGGCCUGUUAACCCUGAUCACACCUCUCAGCACCCUUCCGUGGGUCCUGUCUACCUCUCUGACGUCAACUCCCUGAAUUCACCAUGCUCGUCCAAGACAAGUUCCUGCUUGAAGGGCAGCACUCCAUGCAAUGAUUCAGGGAACCAGGCUUUUCACAUCUUGUGGAGAUCAACUUUACCAGCCUGAUGGCCAAGGACAUAUUUACUCCCUCCUUUGGAAAUGCAAAUAUAUUCGCCUGGAGUUUGGGGAAAGGAAGGAAUUAGUCUCUUAAACUAUCCUCCACCUUUCUUUUUUUUUUUUUAACAGUCAUGACCAAUGACCUUUUAAGGAUGUGACAGAAUCUUUUCCUAUCUUUUUCCUCUCUGAGGCAGUACACACCUUUGGAAAGAAGAGUAAAGGAGACCCAUGGGCCAAAUCUGUGGUGUCUCUACAAUCGUAUCUGCUUUUCCAAGUGGUUCCCUCAUCUGAUGGAGUUUAACAGUGGGAGACGUAGGUGACGACAACACUGUAAAAAGAAGAACAAAAUUCAUUUUUCCUUUGUCACUAGUUUGGAAACUAAGAGUAUCUGCCCAAGGCUUUAGCAUGAGUCAGUUGAGGCUUUUGACUCCUGAUGCCUCAGAAUCUCAUGCACUUUGCACGUGCUCAGUAAAGUCUUGAGCAAUAAAUAAAUGAGCUUCGGUUGAGUUUACAGG